rnacentral:rRNA from 1 species
GACGAACGCUGGCGGUGUGCUUAACACAUGCAAGUCGAACGGAAAGGCCCUGCUUUUGUGGGGUGCUCGAGUGGCGAACGGGUGAGUAACACGUGAGUAGCCUGCCCUUGACUUUGGGAUAACUUCAGGAAACUGGGGCUAAUACCGGAUAGGAGCUCCUGCUGCAUGGUGGGGGUUGGAAAGUUUCGGCGGUUGGGGAUGGACUCGCGGCUUAUCAGCUUGUUGGUGGGGUAGUGGCUUACCAAGGCUUUGACGGGUAGCCGGCCUGAGAGGGUGACCGGCCACAUUGGGACUGAGAUACGGCCCAGACUCCUACGGGAGGCAGCGGUGGAGAAUAUUGCACAAUGGGCGGAAGCCUGAUGCGACGACGCCGCGUGCGGGAUGACGGCCUUCGGGUUGUAAACCGCUUUCGCCUGUGACGAAGCGUGAGUGACGGUAAUGGGUAAAGAAGCACCGGCUAACUACGUG